rnacentral:rRNA from 1 species
GUCGUUAACGAACGAGACCUCGACCUGCUAAAUAGUUCGGCGAAGGUUUCCCUUCGCUUGCGACUUCUUAGAGGGACUAUCGGUGAUUUAGCCGAUGGAAGUUCGAGGCAAUAACAGGUCUGUGAUGCCCUUAGAUGCCCUGGGCCGCACGCGCGCUACACUGAUACGUUCAUCGAGCUUACAACCUUGGUUGAGAGGCCUGGGUAAUCUUUUUAAACCGUAUCGUGCUGGGGAUAGAUUAUUGUAAUUUUUUAAUCUUCAACGAGGAAUUCCUAGUAAACGCGAGUCAUCAACUCGCAUUGAUUACGUCCCUGCCCUUUGUACACACCGCCCGUCGCUAGUACCGAUUGAAUGGUUU